rnacentral:rRNA from 1 species
UGAGGUAAGGGCUCACCAAGGCGACGAUCCCUAGCUGGUCUGAGAGGAUGAUCAGCCACACUGGAACUGAGACACGGUCCAGACUCCUACGGGAGGCAGCAGUGGGGAAUAUUGCACAAUGGGCGCAAGCCUGAUGCAGCCAUGCCGCGUGUGUGAAGAAGGCCUUCGGGUUGUAAAGCACUUUCAGUCGUGAGGAAGGUGGUGUAGUUAAUAGCUGCAUUAUUUGACGUUAGCGACAGAAGAAGCACCGGCUAACUCCGUGCCAGCAGCCGCGGUAAUACGGAGGGUGCGAGCGUUAAUCGGAAUUACUGGGCGUAAAGCGCAUGCAGGUGGUUUGUUAAGUCAGAUGUGAAAGCCCGGGGCUCAACCUCGGAAUAGCAUUUGAAACUGGCAGACUAGAGUACUGUAGAGGGGGGUAGAAUUUCAGGUGUAGCGGUGAAAUGCGUAGAGAUCUGAAGGAAUACCGGUGGCGAAGGCGGCCCCCUGGACAGAUACUGACACUCAGAUGCGAAAGCGUGGGGAGCAAACAGGAUUAGAUACCCUGGUAGUCCACGCCGUAAACGAUGUCUACUUGGAGGUUGUGGCCUUGAGCCGUGGCUUUCGGAGCUAACGCGUUAAGUAGACCGCCUGGGGAGUACGGUCGCAAGAUUAAAACUCAAAUGAAUUGACGGGGGCCCGCACAAGCGGUGGAGCAUGUGGUUUAAUUCGAUGCAACGCGAAGAACCUUACCUACUCUUGACAUCCAGAGAACUUUCCAGAGAUGGAUUGGUGCCUUCGGGAACUCU